UGGUCAAGUUAUUAAGGGUGCAGGGUGGAUGCCUUGGCACUAGGAGCCGAUGAAGGACGUGAUAAGCUGCGAUAAGCUUCGGGGAGUUGCACGUAAACUUUGAUCCGAAGAUUUCCGAAUGAGGAAACUCACUUAGAGUAAUGUCUAAGUAUCAUUAAGUGAAUACAUAGCUUAAUGAGGGGAACUCAGGGAACUGAAACAUCUAAGUACCUGAAGGAAGAGAAAGAAAUUCGAUUCCGUAAGUAGCGGCGAGCGAACGCGGAUUAGCCCAAACCAAUAAAGUUUUCUUUAUUGGGGUUGCGGACAUAUCAUAACGAAGAGGUAUCGUAAUUGAAGAGGUUUGGAAAGACCCACCACAGAAGGUAAUAGUCCUGUAUGUUAAACGAGAAGACUUCAGAUAUGAUCCAGAGUACCACGGGACACGUGAAACCCUGUGGGAAGCAGGAGGGACCACCCUCCAAGGCUAAAUACUACCUAGUGACCGAUAGCGUAUAGUACCGUGAGGGAAAGGUGAAAAGAACCCCGGGAGGGGAGUGAAAUAGAACCUGAAACCCUGCACUUACAAGCUGUGGAAGCACAUUUCUUGUGUGACCGCGUACUUUUUGUAGAACGGGCCAACGAGUUACGUUAAGUAGCAAGGUUAAGCACUUAAGGUGCGGAGCCGUAGCGAAAGCGAGUUUUAACUGAGCGUUCAGUUACUUGACGUAGACCCGAAACCGGGCGACCUACCCAUGAGCAGGAUGAAGCGAAAGUAAAAUUUCGUGGAGGUCCGAACCCACGAGCGUUGAAAAGCUCGGGGAUGACUUGUGGGUAGCGGUGAAAUUCCAAUCGAGCCCGGAGAUAGCUGGUUCUCCCCGAAAUAGCUUUAGGGCUAGCCUCAAGGUGAGAGAUACGGAGGUAGAGCACUGAAUGUCCUAGGGGGUAUUGCACCUACCGAAGACUAUCAAACUCCGAAUGCCGUCAUCUUAUACUUGGGAGUCAGACUGUGGGUGAUAAGAUUCAUAGUCGAAAGGGCAACAGCCCAGAUCGUCAGCUAAGGUCCCUAAAUGUAAGUUAAGUGGUAAAGGAUGUGGGAUUGCACAGACAACCAGGAUGUUGGCUUAGAAGCAGCCACUCAUUCAAAGAGUGCGUAAUAGCUCACUGGUCGAGUGAUCCUGCGCCGAAGAUUUCCGGGGCUAAAACUUACUACCGAAGCUACGGCAUCAGUAAUGAUGGGUAGGGGAGCUUCCCAUACGGGUUGAAGCAUGACCGUAAGGACAUGUGGACAGUAUGGGAGUGAGAAUGUUGGCAUGAGUAGCGAGAUGUGGGUGAGAAUCCCACAGGCCGUAAACCCAAGGUUUCCAGGGGAAGGUUCGUCCGCCCUGGGUUAGUCGGGACCUAAGCUGAGGCCGAAAGGCGUAGGUGAUGGACAACAGGUUGAUAUUCCUGUACUACCGAUAACCGUUUGAGAGAAGGGAUGACACAGUAGGAUAAGCUAAGCACACUGUUGGUUAUGUGUGCCCAAGCAUUGAGGCAGUCAAAGUAGGCAAAUCCGCUUUGAUAAUGCUGGGAUGUGAUGGGGAGCGAAAUUUAGUAGCGAAGUAGCUGAUUUCACACUGUCAAGAAAAGUCUCUAUCGAGGUUAAAGGUACCCGUACCGCAAACCGACACAGGUGGGUGAGGAGAGUAUCCUAAGGCCAGCGAGAGAACUGUUGUUAAGGAACUCGGCAAAAUGACCCCGUAACUUAGGGAUAAGGGGUGCCACCAUCAGGUGGCCGCAGAGAAUAGGCCCAAGCGACUGUUUACCAAAAACAUAGGUUUCUGCUAAGUCGCAAGACGAUGUAUAGGAGCUGACGCCUGCCCGGUGCUGGAAGGUUAAGGGGAUCUGUUAGAGCAAUCGAAGCAGUGAACUUAAGCCCCAGUAAACGGCGGCCGUAACUAUAACGGUCCUAAGGUAGCGAAAUUCCUUGUCGGGUAAGUUCCGACCCGCACGAAAGGCGUAACGAUUUGGGCACUGUCUCAACAACAGACUCGGUGAAAUUGUAAUUCCGGUGAAGAUGCCGGAUACCUGCGACAGGACGGAAAGACCCCAUGGAGCUUUACUGUAGCUUGACAUUGGGUUUUGGUACUACAUGUACAGGAUAGGUGGGAGGCUUUGAAACCAGGACGCCAGUUUUGGCGGAGCCAUCCUUGGGAUACCACCCUUGUAGUACUGGGACUCUAACCAUAGGCCAUGAAUCUGGUCUUGGGACACUGUCAGGCGGGCAGUUUGACUGGGGCGGUCGCCUCCCAAAAGGUAACGGAGGCGCUCAAAGGUUCUCUCAGUACGGUCGGAAAUCGUACGUAGAGUGUAAAGGCAAAAGAGAGCUUGAUUGCAAGACAUACAGGUCGAGCAAGGAUGAAAAUCGGACUUAGUGAUCCGGUGGUUCUGCGUGGAAGGGCCAUCGCUCAACGGAUAAAAGCUACCCUGGGGAUAACAGGCUUAUCUCCCCCAAGAGUCCACAUCGACGGGGAGGUUUGGCACCUCGAUGUCGGCUCAUCACAUCCUGGGGCUGUAGUAGGUCCCAAGGGUUGGGCUGUUCGCCCAUUAAAGUGGUACGCGAGCUGGGUUCAGAACGUCGUGAGACAGUUCGGUCCCUAUCCGUCGCAGGCGUAGGAAAUUUGAGAAGACCUGUCCUUAGUACGAGAGGACCGGGAUGGACGUACCUCUGGUGUACCAGUUGUUCUGCCAAGGGCAUGGCUGGGUAGCUAUGUACGGAAUGGAUAAGCGCUGAAAGCAUCUAAGCGCGAAGCCAACUUCAAGAUAAGAUUUCCCACCGCAAGGGUAAGACCCCAGAAAGACUAUCUGGUUGAUAGGUCGAAGGUGUAAGUGCAGCAAUGUAUUUAGCUUAUCGAUACUAAUAGGUCGAGGACUUGACCAAAUU
rnacentral:rRNA from 1 species